rnacentral:rRNA from 1 species
CCUACGGGCGGCAGCAGUGAGGAAUAUUGGUCAAUGGGCGGGAGCCUGAACCAGCCAAGCCGCGUGAAGGAAGAAGGCGCCAAGCGUCGUAAACUUCUUUUGUCGGGGAACAAAGGGCGCCACGUGUGGCGUUGUGAGCGUACCCGAAGAAAAAGCAUCGGCUAACUCCGGGCCAGCAGCCGCGGUAAUUCGGAGGAUGCGAGCGUUAUCCGGAUUUAUUGGGUUGAAAGGGUGCGUAGGCGGUCCGGAAAGUCAGCGGUAAAAGCCCGGGGCUAAACCCCGGCGAGCCGUUGAAACUGUCGGACUUGAGACGGCGAGAGGCACGCGGAAUGCGCGGUGUAGCGGUGAAAUGCAUAGAUAUCGCGCAGAACUCCUGUUGCGAAGGCAGCGUACCGGCGCCGGACUGACGCUGAGGCACGAAAGCGUGGGUAUCGAACAGGAUUAGAUACCCCUGUAGUC